CCUACUCUGGACCGGAAGUCGCAGAGUUUCCGCCUACAGGUACCUGAGCGCGGCCAUGUUGUCGUACGGAACACGGUUUCUCCGGCCCCCGUGGCCGGAAGUGACGGUACCCGUUUCCACGGCUUAACCGACCGUGCCAGGCCCUUGCGUGCUACGGGCUGCGAGCUCCCGUGCCGCUGUCCAGCAGCGACUUCGACGUCCAGAUUCCUACAUCUCCCAAUCGUGAAAUCACAACACAUGCAUACAAAUGAGCACAACGCGCUGUACAAGUGUGGUGGUAUUAUUAUUGCUAUUGUUGUUGGCGCCUUUUCAAGCUCCUCCACAGAACUAAUGACCAACCAAGCCAGUGGGACGUAGGUGGUUCUCUGUCCUUUUCUCGAGGGUGGUCCCCGAGGCGCAGGCGGUGAUGACCAGGGGGCUGUACUUUGUCCAGGAGCUCCAGGACCUGAGCCCAGGCGAUAUGGGGCGAGGGGUUUGAGGAGGAUCUGUGCGAAUUGCCGCUGUGAGACGAAAUGAGGCUCGUAACAUACCUCGGGGCCCGUCUCCUCCUCUUCCUCGGGGAGAGCUGAGGGAAGAACGAAGAGAGAAGAAACCCACUUUGACGCCUGCCUCGCCGGCACCCCCACCUCGCCCAGCUUUAGGAAGGCUGGAGGGACUCCUAGAGGCAAGGCUGGGUCCAAAGGCGGCCCAGUGUUUCGUCGGUUCCAAUCCUGGGCGUGGACAUGGCACUGCUCAUCGAGCC